rnacentral:snRNA from 1 species
GUCAGAAUCCGGGCUAGA